rnacentral:rRNA from 1 species
GGAGCAUCGAACCAGAAGAAAUUCCAGUUGAUGUUACCUGCGCCCCCUCCGUGCGUUCCUCGCCGGGGAGGUCCAACGACUAAAUUACAUUGGAGAGUCCAGGGGACUUUUUACAACAUAGUCUAAGCGCCUGCGUAACCGCAGGUGUGUUGCUGCAUUAUAUCAGUCAUAAUUUAUUUGAUAGUACCUUUUACCUGGAUAACCGUGGUAAUUCUAGAGCUAAUACAUGCUUAAAACCCCGACUCACGAAGGGGUGUAUUUAUUAGAUAAAAAACCAAUGCCCUUCGGGGCUACUUGGUGAAUCAUAAUAACUUAACGAAUCGCAUGGCCUUGCGCCGGCGAUGGUUCAUUCAAAUCUCUGCCCUAUCAACUUUCGAUGGUAGAAUAGAGGUCUACCAUGGUUUCAACGGGUAGACAACUCCGUUGCCCGCUGGAAAUCAAAACAUGUGCUUGCCUCCGGGUGGGUGCAACGUCGCUGGUUCGGAGGAAGUUCUCCCUGGGGAACAACUCUGAGGCGAGCUCGUCCCUUGUGACGGCCGCCGCAACGCAUGGCAAGCGACGGGCCUCUCCUGGGGAGAAGUCUUGGUACAUGCUCUUGCCUGGGACUUAUGCCCGGGUGAUCAAAGAACGGGGAAUUAGGGGUUCGAUUCCGGAGAAGGAGCCUGAGAAACGGCUGCUACAUCCAAGGAAGGCAGCAGGCGCGCAAAUUACCCANUGCCGACACGGCGAGGUAGUGACAAUACAUACUGAUGCAGAGCUCUUUUGGGUUUUGCAAUUGGAAUGAGUACAAUUUAAAUCUCUUUCACCCAUUCGUUAGGAGA